rnacentral:rRNA from 1 species
AUGAUCGCAUAUUGGGUCGUUGUUCUCUGCAAACAUGAGCAGUUCUUGUUGCACCCACGCGGCGCUGCCGACCGCAGCCUUCAACGCCUCCCGUGGACGUUGCCGCGCUCAACUCAGGGGAGAGCGGUCGCAUCCCACCGCCACAUCGGCUCCGGGCGAAAGCCACGCCGCCGGGACAUCGGCUCCGGGCGAAAGCCACGCCGCCAGAUCCCCCCACGCACCACCGCCUGCAAGUCAUCGUCCGUUAGGGGCCUUCAUACUUCCACUGCUCCACUUGUUGCACGGAGGGCUUGA